rnacentral:rRNA from 1 species
GACGAACGCUGGCGGCGUGCUUAACACAUGCAAGUCGAGCGGUAAGGCCCUUUCGGGGGUACGACGAGCGGCGAACGGGUGAGUAACACGUGGGUGACCUGCCCUCAGCUCUGGGAUAAGCCUGGGAAACCGGGUCUAAUACCGGAUAUGACUCCAUGACGCAUGUUGUGGGGUGGAAAGCCUUGUGCGGCUGAGGAUGGGCCCGCGGCCUAUCAGCUUGUUGGUGGGGUGAUGGCCUACCAAGGCGACGACGGGUAGCCGGCCUGAGAGGGCGACCGGCCACACUGGGGACUGAGACAC